rnacentral:lncRNA from 1 species
AAUUAAGUCACCUUGAACAUGUGAGGUAUCAAGAAAUUUCCUCCUGUAUCCUUUCUUAGCUUCUGAGGGAUAUACCCACAAAAAAUGAAGAAGUUAAAUAUUUAGAAGUUUUUAUAGGGUAUAAGCUGAGAAAGAAGAAGAUACAUUAUGUUGGAAAUGGGAGAAGUGAAAUGAAUUCCCACUGUGAGUGGUCAAGUAGAAGCCCAAGAGAACGGAACAUGAACAGCCAAGGUGAAUAUAAGAAGAGAGCUUUCCAGGAGAGACAGCCCAAGGUGCUUGGGGCGGGGGGCAACUGAUAGAUUGUCAUGUGUGUUUUUUGCCCCAUGAAUGAUACAUUAUAGAAAGAUGUGAAAAAAGUAAUUUAUAUACUCCAAUAAAACAUAUACAAGAAAGGAAAUGGGAUAAUAGGACUGUACUUAACAAUAACCCUAAUGUAAAUACUUAAUGAAAAUUAUUUGACUAUCUUAGGAGGAUGAACAAAGGAGAAGCCUGCAUAGCAUAACAAUCUCAGCAAGCUCAAUAAAACGUCUAAAAUGGAAAAUUCAAGAAAUAGAACAAACAUGUCCUUUAGAUGCAUGGCAAUAAAUACCAGGAGAAAAGGCUAAAAGAGCUGAGAAAAGUAUUUUUCUAUGAAUCAGGCAUUGGGAAGAGAAGGACAGGGCAAGGGACUAUUUUUCUUAGAAGCUCUUGAGCCUUACUAGGUCAGUAAAUGCACUCCUCCUUCCUUGAGUUCUCUUCCAAUAUUGAAAUUGAUAGGAAG